AACGUGUACUUUCGCCCUGCGAUGGGCCGCACAUUUUCGCCGCCAGUCUUUUGCUCCUGUUUCAGGUAUGCGUGUGCAUUGUAAACUUGUCUGACUGAACUGAUUAUAAGAAAUGCACGUCUACUGACCGAGCGCAGUGGCUCACGUCUGUAAUCUGAGCACUUUGGGAGGCCGAGGUGGGUGGAUCACUAGGUCAGGAGUUCGAGACUCAGCCUGGCCAAUAUGGUGACACCCCGUCUCUACUAAAAAUACAAAAAUUAGCCGGGCGUGGUGGCGCGCGCCUGUAGCUACUCAGGAGGCAGAGGCAGAAGAAUCGCUUGAACCCGGGAGGAAGAGGUUGCAGUCAGCCGAGAUCGCGCCACUGCACUCCAGCCUGGGCGGCAGAGCGAGACUCCGUCUCAAAAAAACAAAACAACAAAAAAAAAAAAAAGAAAGAAAG
rnacentral:lncRNA from 1 species